CCUACGGGUGGCAGCAGUGAGGAAUAUUGGUCAAUGGGCGAGAGCCUGAACCAGCCAAGUCGCGUGAAGGAUGACGGCCCUACGGGUUGUAAACUUCUUUUUUCAGGGAGCAAUUUGGUCCACGCGUGGGCUUAGCGAGAGUACCUGAAGAAAAAGCAUCGGCUAACUCCGUGCCCGCAGCCGGGGUAAUACGGGGGAUGCGAGCUUUAUCCGGUUUUAUGGGGUUAAAAGGGUGCGUGGGGGGAAGUUCAGGUCAGCGGGAAAACUUCGGGUCCCAACCCCGUAGUGCCGUUGAAACUGAUGUUCUUGAGUGGGCGAGAAGUAGGCGGAAUGCGUGGUGUAGCGGUGAAAUGCAUAGAUAUCACGCAGAACUCCGAUUGCGAAGGCAGUACACCGGAGCGCAACUGACGCUGAAGCACGAAAGCGUGGGUAUCGAACAGGAUUAGAUACCCGGGUAGUC
rnacentral:rRNA from 1 species